GGCCUGUUGGUCUAGUCGUAUGAUUGUUCGUAGCCCUGUAUCUAUACCGUAUAUUCCCCAACUAAUAAUAGUCAAGGUCGCUUCGGGUAAUACCCUUCUACCUAACGUAGAUUGUGACAGGUCCCGGGUUCAAAUCCCGGACAGGCCC